AGGUGCGUGGCCCAUUAGGUAGGGGCAUCGGGCUGUGACCCCGGAGAAGCCAGUUCGAAUCUGGCCCACCUG
rnacentral:tRNA from 1 species